AUGUAAGUAUUAUUGUUCUUUUCAACCGUUUAGCAUUAACAGCCAAACCAAACUAGAUUCAGCUGAUGCUCUUAAGUGAUAAUUCUUAAACUUAUAAAGGGCAUUUACAAUUUACUUAGAAAAAAAUCAGAGGUUCGGUGUCCGAAGUAGAUUAAGAGGAAGCGGUGACAACUCGCUCACAUGCAUUCGUAAAUCCAAAAUUACCCAGCAUCUGGGACCGAGCAAGGGGAUCAAAUGACGGCUACUGGAGGGGAACUAUUAAGCACAAUGAAGUUCGAAAGUCCUGAAGAAUCAGCUGCAAAAGUCUUGGCCAGACGCAUUCGUCCGGGAACGAAAACUCAGGAUUUCUAUCAAUGGCCUGAUCUGACUCUCGAAGACAUGGACACAACGUUAGCAGUGCAGCAGUACAUACAGCAGCUGAUUCGAAAGGAUCCGUUGAAUGUGGAAGAUAUUUUGCUGAUGCCUGUAAAUCAAGACGAAGGCGUGUGGAAAUAUGAGCAUUUACGGCAGUUCUGCAUGGAGCUUAAUAAUUUGGCGGUUGCUCUUCAGGUGGAAUGCACGGCGGACACCUGCACUCAGAUGACUGCUACCGAUCAGUGGAUCUUUUUGUGCGCUGCACACAAGCAACCCCGAGAAUGCUCGGCCAUUGACUAUACCCGUCAUACUCUGGAUGGGGCGGCUUGUUUAUUAAACAGCAAUAAAUAUUUCCCGAGCAGGGUGGAUAUCAAAGAGCAGUCGAUUGCUAAACUGCCUUCCACUUGCCGCAGAGUGUACCGUAUUUUUUCCCAUGCCUACUUCCAUCAUCGGCCUAUAUUUGAUUCCUUUGAGGAAAAGACGUUCCUGUGCCGUCGUUUUACCGUGUUUGUGUUGAAAUAUGGUUUGAUGUCACCGGAAAAUCUCAUUGUUCCAAUUCCUGGAGUGCACAAUCCUCCCGCUGUGCAGGGAACCGAAUACAAUAAAUCCGGCGAAAAUGAUGGAUAGACAUGGCAACUAUUGCUAGUAUAAUCUUUGUACCCUUUCUGUUCGAACGUCGAAUUUCUGCAUUUGCUUGUAUUUCCUGAAGCUGCAGCUUCUGCAGAUCUCUGGAAGCUGGAAGGUUUCCUUUGUUUUCCCGAUUAUCGGACUAUCAGCCAUAACAGCGUAAGAUAAGAACCGUUGUUGUUAUCGCUUGAAUCUUACGAAAAAUCUUAGUGUGAA